AGCAUUAAGGUGGGUGGAAUAAUAUAACAAUAUCCGUGUUGUUAUAGUAUUCCACCUACCCUGAUGUA
rfam:Ficedula albicollis isolate OC2 chromosome 4A, whole genome shotgun sequence.